rnacentral:rRNA from 1 species
GACGAACGCUGGCGGCGUGCUUAACACAUGCAAGUCGAACGGAAAGGCCUGCCUUCCCUUGUGGAUUGCGGGUACUCGAGUGGCGAACGGGUGAGUAACACGUGAGUGAUCUGCCCCCAACUUGGGUAUAAGCCUGGGAAACUGGGUCUAAUUCCCGAUAGGACUGCAGGGUGGUGCCUGUGGUGGAAAACGAUUUUCUAGUGGUUGGGGAUGAGCUCGCGGCCUAUCAGCUUGUUGGUGGGGUAAUGGCCUACCAAGGCGGCGACGGGUAGCCGGCCUGAGAGGGUGGACGGCCACAUUGGGACUGAGAUACGGCCCAGACUCCUACGGGAGGCAGCAGUGGGGAAUAUUGCACAAUGGGCGGAAGCCUGAUGCAGCGACGCCGCGUGGGGGAUGACGGCCUUCGGGUGGUAAACUCCUUUCGACCGCGAGGAAGCCACCUGGUUGGAAGGGUGGUGACGGUAGUGGUAGAAGAAGCACCGGCUAACUACGUG